UACGGAGGGUGCAAGCGUUAUCCGGAUUCACUGGGUUUAAAGGGUGCGUAGGUGGGUCUGUAAGUCAGUGGUGAAAUCUCCGGGCUUAACUCGGAACGGUCAAUUGAUACUGAUGUGCUAGAGUGCAGAAGGGGCAAUCGGAAUUCUUGGUGUAGCGGUGAAAUGCGUAGAUAUCAAGAGGAACACCUGAGGUGAAGACGGGUUGCUGGGCAGUGAGCUGACACUGAGGCGCGACAGCGUGGGGGAGCAAACAGG
rnacentral:rRNA from 1 species